UUUUUAUAUGAAAGAAAAAGGAGUUACCACUCUCCUUGACAAGAAUUGAAGAGGCCCUUAGGCCUCAUAUCAUGCAGACUAUUAAGGCAAUCCACCUACUUUGUGGCUUUUUCCACUUCUAGUUAUAU